AUUGAACGCUGGCGGCAGGCCUAACACAUGCAAGUCGAGCGCGCGGCGCAGGGGUGAGUAAUGUCUGGGAAACUCCCUGAGGGGGGGAGAUAAAUAGUAGAAGCGGUAUCAAAUACCGCAUACCAGCAGAUGUGCCCAGAUGGGAUUAGCUAGUGGGUGGGGUAAUGGCUCACCUAGGCGACGAUCCCUAGCUGGUCUGAGAGGAUGACCGGCCACACUGGAACUGAGACACGGCCCAGACUCCUACGGGAGGCAGCAGUGGGGAAUAUUGCACAAUGGGCGCAAGCCUGAUGCAGCCAUGCCGCGUGUGUGAAGAAGGCCUUAGGGUUGUAAAGUACUUUCAGCGAGGAGGCGUUACCGGCAGAAGAAGCACCGGCUAACUCCGUGCCAGCAGCCGCGGUAAUAC
rnacentral:rRNA from 1 species